AUUAGUAGACUACUGACUAGAUAUACUAUUCUAAAAAUUUGGAAAUACUUUUUGGUACAUUUUGAAAUUUGGAUACAUUGAUUUAUAUUCUAGACACUCGUAUGGUUUAGAAAAUAUAAACAUUUAAGUAUAAAUUAGUUCAUACAAAACUACAAAAAUAUUAAGUAUUAGCACAACUAAAUGGAAACUAUCGAUUGAUUUAUUGAACUACCGGUCCAUAGAACUAUAUUGAACAGUUUCAUGGUAAUAAAUUAGGUAGGUAUUUACCUAUACUUUAAGCAAACAAAAAAGUUGUCUUAGGAUAAUGGAGAAAUUUGCAACCACUGUUUUGGUGAGAAGUUGGGAAGAUAGUAGAGGGGAAAUUUAUUGUAUAUCUGUACGCAACGAUUAGUCAAACAAAAAUACGAUUCUGAGUGGAGUUCAUUUGAUAGUGUUGUUUUAACUACAUUAUAUAUGUCAUAUUAUAAUAAAAAAUUACAUACUUAUGCACUAUAUAAUAUUUUGUUUAAUGUUGUAUUUAUUACCUAGUUUUUCCCAUAUUU